GAUGAACGCUGGCGGCGUGCCUAAUACAUGCAAGUCGAGCGAACGGACGAGAAGCUUGCUUCUCUGAUGUUAGCGGCGGACGGGUGAGUAACACGUGGAUAACCUACCUAUAAGACUGGGAUAACUUCGGGAAACCGGAGCUAAUACCGGAUGAUAUUUUGAACCGCAUGGUUCAAAAGUGAAAGACGGUCUUGCUGUCACUUAUAGAUGGAUCCGCGCUGCAUUAGCUAGUUGGUAAGGUAACGGCUUACCAAGGCAACGAUGCAUAGCCGACCUGAGAGGGUGAUAGGCCACACGGGAACUGAGACACGGUCCAGACUCCUACGGGAGGCAGCAGUAGGGAAUCUUCCGCAAUGGGCGAAAGCAUGACGGAGCAACGCCGCGUGAGUGAUGAAGGUCUUCGGAUCGUAAAACUCUGUUAUUAGGGAAGAACAUAUGUGUAAGUAACUGUGCACAUCUUGACGGUACCUAAUCAGAAAGCCACGGCUAACUACGUG
rnacentral:rRNA from 1 species